ACAAGGUUUCCGUAGGUGAACCUGCGGAAGGAUCAUUGAAUCGAUCGAAUCCACUCUGGUAACCAACCUUCCCCUCGCCCUGGUGCGAGCGUCGGUCCCCUGGCUGGGGUCUUCUGACCGCAGUUCAGGUCCGGCGGGCCUUGCUCCCAAGGGUGUCCCUUUCGGGCCCCAUGGGUUGCAGGGCCGGUAAUUAUAUUCAACUCAACCCACCCCAAACCUAAAUUAAAACUAAAGCUGUCUAGUGUGUGCAUUUCGGUGCCUCACUUUAACCAAAGACAACUCUCAACAACGGAUAUCUUGGCUCCCGUAUCGAUGAAGAACGCAGCGAAAUGCGAUACGUAGUGUGAAUUGCAGAAUUCCGUGAAUCAUCGAAUCUUUGAACGCAAAUUGCGCCCGAGGCUUCGGCCGAGGGCAUGUCUGCCUCAGCGUCGGCUUACACCCUCGCUCUCCCUCUCCUUUGGAGUGGGUAGAACGGAUCUGGCCUUCCCGGCUCCUCUUCGAUUCAUCGUUGAGUCCGGGUCGGCUGAAGUGUAGAGGCUUGAGCAUGGACCCCGUUUGCAGGGCAAUGACUUGGUAGGUAGCAUCGCUACAUAGCCUGUCGUUGUCCGAGGGGACUUUGCUGGCGGCCUAGCAGGAAUUUGAAGUGGUUCUACCACUUUGAAUGUCUCACACCUUCGACCUGAGCUCAGGCAAGACUACCCGCUGAACUUAAGCAUAUCAAUAAGCCG
rnacentral:misc_RNA from 1 species